rnacentral:rRNA from 1 species
CCCGCACAAGCGGUGGAGCAUGUGGUUUAAUCGAAGCAACGCGAAGAACCUUACCAGGUCUUGACAUCCCGAUGCUAUUUCUAGAGAUAGAAAGUUACUUCGGUACAUCGGUGACAGGUGGUGCAUGGUUGUCGUCAGCUCGUGUCGUGAGAUGUUGGGUUAAGUCCCGCAACGAGCGCAACCCCUAUUGUUAGUUGCCAUCAUUCAGUUGGGCACUCUAGCGAGACUGCCGGUAAUAAACCGGAGGAAGGUGGGGAUGACGUCAAAUCAUCAUGCCCCUUAUGACCUGGGCUACACACGUGCUACAAUGGUUGGUACAACGAGUUGCGAGUCGGUGACGGCGAGCUAAUCUCUUAAAGCCAAUCUCAGUUCGGAUUGUAGGCUGCAACUCGCCUACAUGAAGUCGGAAUCGCUAGUAAUCGCGGAUCAGCACGCCGCGGUGAAUACGUUCCCGGGCCUU